UACGGAGGGUGCAAGCGUUAUCCGGAUUUACUGGGUUUAAAGGGUGUGUAGGCGGACUUUUAAGUCAGCGGUGAAAUCUCCGGGCUCAACCCGGAAACUGCCAUUGAUACUAUUGGUCUUGAAUAUUGUUGAGGUGGGCGGAACGGGUCAUGUAGCGGUGAAAUGCAUAGAUAUGACCCGGAACACCGAUUGCGAAGGCAGCCCACUAAGCAAUGAUUGACGCUGAGGCACGAAAGCGUGGGGAUCAAACAGG
rnacentral:rRNA from 1 species